CCACUUGGGCUUGUAGCUCAGUGGUGGACCAUUGCCCUCAAAGUUAAGCAUGACUAUGAGGGCAAUGGUUCGAGUCCCCACGGACUCAACCUCCUCCAAUUAAACAUAAUUGUGUGGAGAUUUUUAUAAACGUCUUUCUCCCUUGCGAAAUGCGAGUGGAGUAGAGACAUCCCUCCUCCGUGAGGGGUAUUUGGGAUGGACAUAUACUUCAUAGAAUAAAAAUGUAAUAAUAUAAGUCCCAUGUAUAUAUAUCUGAUCUGAUUAUAAAUAUCAGUAUAAUGACCUGCUGUCAUAGCAGUUGUAUAUAUAUCUGUGUAAUGCAGUAACCUGAUGCUUAAUCAGUUUCAAAAAAUAAAAAUAAAUUGUGUUUAUUAUAGCUGGUAUGCAUGUAUCCACAUGUAUACAGCGAGUACUAGCUACCGAAUCGUGACACCACGUCCGCACGAUAAGACAUAAGUAGCAG
rnacentral:lncRNA from 1 species